rnacentral:rRNA from 1 species
UACGAAGGGAGCUAGCGUUGUUCGGAAUCACUGGGCGUAAAGCGCACGUAGGCGGAUUUGCCAGUCAGGGGUGAAAUCCCGGGGCUCAACCUCGGAACUGCCUUUGAUACAGCAAGUCUUGAGUUCGAGAGAGGUGGGUGGAAUUCCUAGUGUAGAGGUGAAAUUCGUAGAUAUUAGGAAGAACACCGGUGGCGAAGGCGGCCCACUGGCUCGACACUGACGCUGAGGAACGAAAGCCAGGGGAGCGAACGGG